CACUGCUAUCGGGGUUCGAUUAAGCCAUGCGAGUCGAGAGGGUUCAGACCCUCGGCGCACUGCUCAGUAACACGUGGAUAACCUACCCUGAGGAGGGGGAUAACCCCGGGAAACUGGGGAUAAUACCUCAUAGGUUUCAGAUGCUGGAAUGCUCUGAAACCGAAAUGCUCCGGCGCCUCAGGAUGGAUCUGCGGCCGAUUAGGUUGUUGUUGGGGUAACGGCCCAACAAGCCCGUCAUCGGUACGGGUUGUGAGAGCAAGAGCCCGGAGAUGGAUUCUGAGACACCAAUCCAGGCCCUACGGGGCGCAGCAGGCGCGAAACCUUUACAAUGCGAGCAAUCGUGAUAAGGGAACCCCGAGUGCCUGAAACCAGGCUGUUCAGGUGUUUAAAAAGCACCUGGAGAAAGGGCCGGGCAAGACCGGUGCCAGCCGCCGCGGUAAUACCGGCGGCUCGAGUGGUGGCCGCUAUUAUUGGGCUUAAAGCGUUCGUAGCUGGGUUGUUAAGUCUCUUGGGAAAUCUCACGGCUCAACCGUGAGGCGACUAAGAGAUACUGGCAAUCUUGGGACCGGGAGAGGUGAGAGGUACUCCA
rnacentral:rRNA from 1 species